UACUACUAACUACCUACCUGCCAACCCCC
rnacentral:sRNA from 1 species